UAACAGCGGGAAGGAGCAGCCCAGGACAAGGCUCCCGAGUGGCAAUUGCUCGGUUCUCACCUGGAUCAGCAACCUGUGGUCCCAAGGCACAAAUUCCUGGGAGCUCCGGCUCUGGGGGCUGGAGACAGCUGGGGCCAGGGAACAGCCAAGGGGGAGACUGAGGCAGUCCAGCACAGGGCAAGGUCAGGCCGGUGGGGAGCCCACGGCUCAUUCCCUCUGACAAGUGCAGCUCUGUUUCGAUGCCUGGUGCUCAUCCUCAUCGUGUCCUCGGGAGCAGCCGGAGCCACCCCUGCCAGAGCCGGGAAUUCUCGGUAACAGGAGCCCCUCAUCCUGCUGGUUCUGCUGUUAAACCUCUCCUGAGAUGUGGAGAGAGCCAGUCCUGGGUGUCCAAGUGAUGAAGGGCAGAUUAGCAAGGCCCUGCUGCAUUAGGCUGGGAAUAUAUUUAGCUCCUCAACGUGCUGUGGAUUAGGAGCAGCGGGAGGCCUGGCAGCUCCACUUCAGAGGCUGGCAGGGAACAUCCCCAUUCAGCUGAGCUGACAUUCCCUUCCCAGCACCUGUUGGAUGGGUAUCCCGGCCUUUCUGGGGCUGCUCCCCCACUUCUGCCCUCAGGCAGGAUCCUUCCACUCCCUGCUGUCACUUGGCUGCUCAAAGCAGCUUCUGCACUAGUCAGGCUCAAGCCAUGAAGGUUUUGAGGGUAUUUUAGGGCAAAGAGCCCCCUUUUAGGGUUUGUUCUUGUUGUUUGCUGUUCUGUGCAGUUCCUUUCCUUCCACCAGUCCCUGUCCUUGGAGUGGCACCGCCCUUAUCCAGGAGGAUGAGCUCACAUUUUGGGGCUUGAAAAUGUGCGUUUUUAGCUCUUGCUGCCCCUGUGCUCAGCUCCAUUCCCAUCCCAUGGCAUGGGAUGGCUCUGUGACCUGCCCCUGCCUGCUUCUGUUCCUGAGAGCAUCCCACCAGCUAUCCCCAUGCCUGGCUCAUUUAUAAAUUGUAUGGAAAUACAAAUGUACCCCAUCACUCCACAGGACGUGUCACCCUUCUGUACCUCCGGGCUGAUGCUCACAAGAGCUCCCAGCAGCACCAGAUUAGAGCAGAUUUGUGUUUUUCCCUCACUGAUAUCCUGAGAAAAAACCUGUUUUCACCACAUUUCCAAGGGAGAUUUUCCAAGCAAUCCUCUCCACAGGGACCCCUAGAACUGGAGACCCUGGAAUGUUCCCUUGUGCCCUGGCAGAGCCCUUCCCAUUCCAGAUAAUCCCAUACAACCUGGGCAGGGAAUUCCUGGCAGCUGGACAGCACAUGGGGUUAUUUGCAGGUCCCUGGCCAUUCUGGGGACUGUAGGAAUUCAACAACCAUCCCUGCACUGGGACACGGGGCUCUCCCAGCCCUUGGCAGCCCAGCUUUCCACAGGGAUUACAGGAAAUUUGGGAGACAUUGACAAAACCCAAACUUGCACUCAGUAAAAUGAAAAACAAACUGGAAAAAAAAUCCCCUGUCCAAAACCUGCCUCGAGUCAGCCCAAACGUUUGGUUCAAUCACCAAGCAAACAUUCCACGUGCGCUCCAAGCUUUUCCUUUUUAAGCUUCUUAAGUGGGCUUGACUUAAACACAGGCAAAUUUCUCCUGAAAACAUCAUUUCAGCCCAAAUCACAGAACUUCAAGAAGCUUUCCUUCAAAGCCAGCGGAACAAACGGUGGAUUUGAUCGGGUUUCUCCCCUUUUUGUGGGGUACAAGAUCAUUCCCGUUGUGUCGGUGUCGCGGUUGACCUGCAGCUGCCCUU